GAUGAAGAACGCAGCGAAAUGCGAUACGUAAUGUGAAUUGCAGAUUUCAGUGAAUCAUCGAAUCUUUGAACGCACAUUGCGCCCCUUGGUAUUCCGAGGGGCAUGCCUGUUCGAGCGUCAUUAUAACCCCUCAAGCUCAGCUUGGUGUUGGGGCCUGCUGCACUGGCAGCCCUUAAAAUCAGUGGCGGCGCCAUCUGGCUCUAAGCGUAGUAAUUCUUCUCGCUAUGGAGUCCUGGUGGAUGCUUGCCAUCAACCCCCAAUUUUUCUAUGGUUGACCUCGGAUCAGGUAGGGAUACCCGCUGAACUUAAGCAUAUCAAUAAGCGGAGGA
rnacentral:misc_RNA from 1 species